rnacentral:hammerhead_ribozyme from 1 species
GCACUGUUGAGGAGUCCCACAAUAGGACGAAACAGUUGUCCAGUGC